GGAUAAGACAUCAAGGACUACCCACAGGACUCAUUGAACGUUGGAGCUUCAUCUCAAGACCAGGCCUGGGCCUUUGGGCCAGUGGGAAACCCAGCUCCAUCCUCACCCACCAUUGAAAGCCAUGGGAUUCAACCUAGAGCCUUGAGGCAGCCACCUCACAGGAGUGCAGGUAACACAGGCAGGUGCUUUUUAAAGCACAGAAAUUAAUGUGAGAGGGCACCAGUCUCUAGAGGGUAGAAAGCCAGACUAAGAUAGGGAACAACAUGGAAUAUGCAACUCUGGGUGUCAGAUUACAUCCUCAAGUUUUCAAGGGAAACCUAACCUUCUCCAGAAUCUAAGAAAAUUAAUUCAUAAAAAAAAAAAAAAAAAACUAAGGGGGCG
rnacentral:lncRNA from 1 species